UCCGCACAGAAGUAAUAUAGGUAAGUUAUGCUAUUAAUAAUUAUAUCGAAAUGAAGAUUGGUUGCAAUAAUUUAUCAAUGAUAAUUAGAGAUAUAAAAAUGUACUUAGUUUUUCAUAGGGUGGACAACUUGCCUGUGUCUAUGCCGUUUUGUUGGACAAAGGCACGACGUCAAUCACAAAUACCGUUUCCUCAAUUCCAUGUACAUGCUAUCCAUCUGCACCAAUGCUGGGUGGGGGAAAGUAUUUAAGAUGACAUCAAAGCACAAGAAAUUUAAGGAUAUGAUGUUGAAAGGUUUUGAAGCAAGUGAUCAUGGCACAACAGAUAAUAUGGAGCUUCAACAAGCGCAUAUUAGAAUUCGGAUCCUAUGGAAUCCAAUAAACCUUUGGUCUGCUAGUCGGAUGAUUUAUAAAGCCCUGAAACAUUGGAUUAAGCUUAAUGAAAGUGGCUACUAAGUGACGAGUCUGGAUUACGUUGAUUUCUCAUAGUCUGAGGUAUUUGGAAAACCAUGACCAUUACUACUUGAUGUUUUCAAGAGAUGAACAGAAAAAAAAGAGAAUUUCAGUUUUUAGAGUAAUAUAGCAAGAACUUUGGAGAUAUCAAUUUAAACUCUUCACUUAUACCUGAAAGUAUUCUGAAGGAAUUCUUCGUGUUCACUCAUGAUGGAACGUCUUAUGAAUCGAAAGAAGCAGAAUUUCCUGCAAUUGAUAUUGGAGCAGCGCAUUCUGCGAAGAUUAGAUUAGAGGCAAUUUAAUUGAACAACGGCUUAAUCCCACUGAUCUGUGCAGUGAACACCAUUUAGUCUCCAGCCGCAAAUUCUAAAUAUGGGAGAUGUCUGGAUUGGAGGAAAAAACGGUACUGAAGUGAUACCGAUGUCUACAUAUUUCAACCCAAGUGAUCAUGGCACAAGAUACCAUUUGGAGCCUUCAACCUUGCAAUUCAGAGCUUUUUCAAUGGAAUUAUGAAUGGAGAUCGAAUGUAUGCAGUUGAGUUUGUAAAAUUCCUUCUUGCUUCGCCUAAACUUAUUAGUUCCAUAAAAUGAAUACAUAAAUGGUUUUCACAAUGGAAAUGUGACUAUGUAUGUAGUCAACAUUACUUGAGGAUAUCAAUACAUCUUUGAAAUGUUUUAUUCUAAGAGCAAGAUACUGAAUAUUUAUACAAUUUGUUUUCGAACUUUGCAAAGCUUGAAAUGUGCAAAAUAUCAGUUUCAAAACAAGUGUUUUGCAAUUAAAUCAAUAUUUCAUCUUAAAAUUGCCGGGAAACUUUUAUUCUUGUACUAACUUGAAAAUAUUGGCCUUCAUUCAUUCCCUUCAAAAGUAGCAUUUGUUUAAAUUUUUGUUUUUAAAAUGCUUAUUUCUCAAUUUACAUUGGUAAAAUGUUUUUUAAUAUGGGGUAACUUAAGCGCUGGUAGUAUAUUUAAAUUUGCUAGUAAUCUAAACCAAAUUUCCAAGACUGAAUGUUUGAUUUACAUUUCAUAUAAAAUUAGCUUUAAAACUUCUGUAUGGCUAUUAAUCUCUUAUUGGAGCUCAACAAGUUGACAGAGUUCUCAUUGACCCAGCAAUAUAGGCGGGAAUCACAAUUUUUAUUAUGAAGUAAAAAAUUCAUUUGCGUAGUGCACUUCAUCAUUGUUAGGGGGGAAAUGAAUCUUUUCGCCCUUAGAUUUGUCGAUUAUUUCUAAUUGCCGAUUACCAUAGCAAAUCUUUAAUGUAAAUAUUUUGUGUAAACUGAUAUGUUUUUCAUUUUACCGACUUAUUUUUCAAAAUCAGUCUUUUGGUAUCGUUUUGUACUGAAUGUCAAUGCUCGUGAAAACUUCAUAAUCUUGUCCAUUUUGCUUUGUGGUUAUAAAAUGAGUUACCAAAUAAUUAAAUAUGUUCUUAUGACCAUAUGUAUAUUAUCCUAAAUAUCUUAAGGAAUUUUGCAUUUCAUUAUGAUCCUGAUAUUUGUCUUGUUUUAAAUAUGCAAAAUUAUUUUAUGCUUAAUAUCAUAUGUAUAUUGUUCUGUGCUAAAUUUCAGUUAAGUCUUCCAAGAAAUCUAAAUUUAAAGAAUUUUGGUUUCAAAGCAAACUCUGAAAUUUGCUGCAAGUCAUAUGCAUGUUCGGCUAAUUUAAAAUAUACGAAUAGUAACUUACCAGGAAAAAUGUUCAUUGUGUAUGAAGGAUAAAUCGAAACGUAUUGUUAGCAUGCAUGUUUGUCUUCUUACUUCGUUUGAAAUUGCGAAAAUUUUAACACUAAUGAAUCGCAAGUCGUGUAUUGACGCACAUUAAACGGUUAUAUUUUGAAAAGACGUUUUAUGGUAAUAUUAUAAAUUUGAUAAUACUUGGCUUUUGAUACUAUAGAAUAUUCUAAAAUUGUUAGCAAAUAAACUUUCAGUUUCUUUUCAUUGCCUUUCAUAUGUGAAUUUCAUAAUACCUCGCAUUAAUUGUCUAAAUUUUGAUUCAGAAACAAUGUCAAUGGUUAUUAAUUUAAAUCUCUUUAACAUUCCAGAUUUUUUUUACCGUAGUCUGUGUAGAUAUAUUAAAUCUAUUCGUUGCAUCCAUUUGCAAUUAUUUUCUUAAAAUCUUGUGUUACAUUUAAAAUUAAAUAGUAAUGGUUACAAUACGAUUAAUAGUAAAUUCAAAAUUCUAAAUAUAUCGCUACUUUGAUUUUUAUUUUCACGUAAAACUUGCAUCCGCGGACAAAGCAUACUUUGAUUGGCUCGGCCGGCCAUCCAAUCAAAAUAUGCUUUGAUUCUCAGAAAGCAUUUGAUCAUCGUGCCUGAUCACCACGGCGAUCUGUAUGCUUUUAGAGAAUACGUUGCUCUUUAAUGAUUAGUAUGAAAUAAUAUGCAUAAGAUUAUAUUCGAAUGUCUCGUUUGGUGAAGGGAAAAAGUGAAUGGAUGCGAUGAAUGUUAAAUCUAGAUGUAGGGUAGGCAGGUUUCUUUUUUCUUUUUUUUUCUGUAACAUGAGAAAGUCUAGGGUUCUGAACUAUCGGCUUUUCAGUAAUGGUAAAUUUGCUAAAUUCUUUUAAUUUAAUAGAAUGUUA